GGAGAGAUGGUCGAGUUGGUUUAAGGCACCGGUCUUGAAAACCGGCGUAGGGG
rnacentral:tRNA from 1 species